GGAAGGUAACGCCGCUGC
rnacentral:misc_RNA from 1 species